rnacentral:rRNA from 1 species
UGGGUUUUUCACGGAAGGCAAAUAGAGCUCUGUUGAAGCGAGCUACAGCUGCACAUUUCGAAAUCUGGCCCUCGGGUCCGAGUUGUAAUUUGUAGAGGAUGCUUUUGGUGCGGUGCCUUCCGAGUUCCUUGGAACAGGACGCCUUAGAGGGUGAGAGCCCCGUACGGUUGGACACCAAGCCUCUGUAAAGCUCCUUCGACGAGUCGAGUAGUUUGGGAAUGCUGCUCUAAAUGGGAGGUAAAUUUCUUCUAAAGCUAAAUACCGGCCAGAGACCGAUAGCGCACAAGUAGAGUGAUCGAAAGAUGAAAAGUACUUUGAAAAGAGGGUUAAAUAGCACGUGAAAUUGUUGAAAGGGAAGCGUUUAUGACCAGACCUUCGUCGGGCGGAUCAUCCGGUGUUCUUCACCGGUGCACUUCGCCCGGCUUAGGCCAGCAUCGGUUUUCGCAGGGGGAUAAAGGUCCCGGGAACGUAGCUCCCUCCGGGGAGUGUUAUAGCCCGAGACGUAAUACCCUUGCGGGGACCGAGGUUCGCGCUCCGGCAAGGAUGCUGGCGUAAUGGUCAUCAACGACCCGUCUUGAAACACGGACCAAGGAGUCGAACAUUUAUGCGAGUGUUUGGGUGUUAAACCCUCACGCGUAAUGAAAGUGAACGGAGGUGAGAGCCCGUACGGGUGCAUCAUCGACCGAUCCUGAUGUCUUCGGAUGGAUUUGAGUAAGAGCAUAACUGUUCGGACCCAAAAGAUGGUGAACUAUGCGUGGAUAGGGUGAAGCCAGAGGAAACUCUGGUGGAGGCUCGCAUCGGUUCUGACGUGCAGGUCGAUCGUCAAAUCUGCUCAUGGGGGGGGAAA